rnacentral:rRNA from 1 species
CCUACGGGAGGCAGCAGUGAGGAAUAUUGGUCAAUGGACGCAAGCCUGAACCAGCCAAGUAGCGUGAAGGAAGACUGCCCUACGAGUUGUAAACUUCUUUUGUACAAGGAUAAAGGGAGACACGUGUACCUUUCUGUAAGUACUUUAUGAAUAAGGAUCGGCUAACUCCGUGCCAGCAGCCGCGGUAAUACGGAGGAUUCGAGCGUUAUCCGGAUUUAUUGGGUUUAAAGGGAGCGUAGAUGGGUUGAUAAGUCAGGUGUGAAAGUUUGCGGCUCAACCGUAAAAUUGCCAUUGAUACUGGCAGGCUUGAGGACAGUUGAGGUAGGCGGAAUUGGUGGUGUAGCGGUGAAAUGCUUAGAGAUCAUGCAGAACACCGAUUGCGAAGGCAGCUUACCAAGCUGCUUCUGACAUUGAUGCACGAAAGUGUGGGGAGCAAACAGGAUUAGAUACCCGGGUAGUC